UACGUAGGGUGCGAGCGUUAAUCGGAAUUACUGGGCGUAAAGCGUGCGCAGGCGGCGCGUUAAGACAGGUGUGAAAGCCCCGAGCUUAACUUGGGAAUUGCGCUUGUGACUGGCGUGCUGGAGUGUGGCAGAGGGAGGUGGAAUUCCACGUGUAGCAGUGAAAUGCGUAGAUAUGCGGAGGAACACCGAUGGCGAAGGCAAUCCCCUGGGCCUGCACUGACGCUCAUGCACGAAAGCGUGGGGAGCAAACGGG
rnacentral:rRNA from 1 species